UGAUGGCAGUGAUGAUUCCUGUGAAGAUGCUUUCCUGAUGUCUGAAGCAUGAGGGCUGCACAGUCACUACCUCUUCUGAUGCCAUCU
rnacentral:snoRNA from 1 species